GCGGGUGCGCCUUCCGUCCUGCCACGGCUGAGUCGGUACCGACACCCCUUCCAGGCUGUGUGGGGCCCAGGGCCCCCACACCCCUGGCAGCUGGUUUGUGUCUCCAGCCCGAGUUACAAGGUAACUGCAUUCAAACAUGGAUCUGAACAGGCAGCGGGGACAGAGCAGCGGUGAAGACAGAGGAAGAGCCCAAGUUCGGUUCUGAGUCAGCGCGAACCUCCCCGAGAGGCAGCGAGAGUCCAGGGGAGGCAGAUGCCCAGGUCUGUGCCUCAGACAGACCCUCCGGAAAGUGGGCGCAACUCCUAAGCACUGGGUCAGGUGAUGUCACCCAGCCAUUGUCUCUGAUGUGUGAGGAGAUGAAAAACUUAGGCGGUUUUACAGGCUGUCUGAGGAAUUUUCGACCUAUUUUCUGUUGAAGGGUAUUCGCUGAAGUAUAUCAGUGCUGGAGACACUUGGACGCAUCCUGAAUUGAUCCUGAAGAAACGGCAACUUGGACAGACAGCAUGACAAUUUCUGGGAUUUAUUCUGAAAUAAGACGCUAUGAAUCUUGACCAAAAUAAUCUUAAUACUUAAGAUGUUUCCUAUGGACUCACGUAUCUGUUGCUUCACGAAAAAAAAAAUCCAGAUUAAAAUGACUGAAAUGAGCUUUUUCAUCCCUGUGGGAGGAUUGGGAGUCCUCGCUGCACGGGUGGGCAGUGUGACCGCGGAGCAGACGUCACCGGGUCAUUUGGGGAAGGGGGACCCGCCGUGCACCUGCUCAUCGCCGCGACAGGCCAGCGUGGACUGCACAUCUACCCUUUCCUCACAACCAAGUAUUUCGAAAUCACAGCAUGAGUGGCCCUGCUGCUACAGCCCAGCGGGAGAAAAUGCCGGAAGUCUGGACACCUUUCUGAGGACUCAGAGGUGGCACGUCCUCAGUGCUGACCCAUCCACCCAGACGCAGGUGAGAAGAAAGUUGGCUGAAGGCACGGCUGCAGGAGACAGCUCUUUCUGCCUUCCGGCCGUCCAGUGGAAAUGCCUUUUCUCUGAGACAGCCACCUGCUGAGAAUGUCUGACUUCAUCCACCACUCGGUUGUCCUCGUCUCUAACCCCCCUUGAUGUUUAACUGGAGAAGAAAUUCCCUUAAAGGACCAACAUAUUUCUGGAGGAUUACACUUGUAACCUGGAGUCCUUCAAGGACCGUAUGUCACCAAAACCAAAACAAAAGUCUUCUCCUGUGAAAACUGUGACCUCAGGAAGGAGAGGGAAGCUUAGAUCACAAAACAUUUAAAAUUAAAUUAAAAUUAAAAUUAGAUUAAUCCACCUAAUGAGAGGAUUAGUCCAUCCUCUUAUGGGUAUUGGUUACUUAGUCAUACAACGUCGUGCUGCCUCGUGCUGGCUCAACAGCACCCCGGUAAAAUCACACAAGUUCAUGCCAAGCAGCAACGAUGGCAAAGAAGUUACCGAUAGACACUGGGCUUUUGGCCCACAGUUCUGUCCGGGUGUUGGCUGUGCCGUGCUGUGUCUGGGUGGAGGGGAGGGGGC
rnacentral:lncRNA from 1 species